rnacentral:lncRNA from 1 species
GGGCGCUUUGCAGACCCUCCGACCCCGUGAGCCUCUGAGCUGGAGGCUUAAGUCCUGACCUGAGACCCCAUCCAAGCACCUGCCUGCCGGGAACACACACAUGCACACACACGUGCACAUGCACACAUGCACAUGUAGGCACUCACGCGCAUGCACACACAUGCAGGCACUCACAUGCACACGCACACACAUGCGCACACAUGCACUCACAUGCGCAUGCACACACGCAGACAUCGCCCCUGCCUAUGUGGUAGUUCACUAGUUCUACAGGCGUUCGUGGAGCGCUUCUUGCCAUGCACCACAUUACGUUCCAAGAAAACUCAGAUGAGCCGGGUCUCGUUCCUGUGCCGGAAGCUCUGGUCCACUUGGAGGACAACUGGCCGCCCCCCGGUCCUUUGGGGCGGAGAGCAGAGGCUGCUCCUGAGCAGGACUGAGAAGCGGGGAGGAAGGGCUUCCCCUGGAGGACCCCCGGGGCGCUCCCGGAGCCGGAGGAGUUACUGUCACCUCGUGGUUCCUGGUGAAGGGGAUUUCUGACUGCGUCUCGCUCCGUUACAGAACCACGGGAGGGCUGUAAUUAAAUCAAAGCAGAAGGGCGGGGGGUGGGCUGCAGACCACUCACCUUGUGAGGGAGCCCCUCCCAGCUCUGCUCGUCCCACCUGGUGGAGGAGAGAAGGCUCAUCGAGCAGCCUGUCCCGUGUGUGGUUUAGUUUCCAGUGAGCAGCUCGCAGGGUGAGGGUGGCACAUGGAUGAUGGCAGCUGGACGGGUGCACAGGGAGUAUCUGCCUUCCCCGGACUGAGUUUACUACAGAAAUGCGCGAAGCUGGCAUAACUGCCAUGGCUGAGGGGUGAGUGCUCAGGGGGUAUGUGUAUAUACGUGUACAUACAUACACAUAUUUUAAUUGAAUUUAGUGCUUUUUCCUGAAAUCCUGAUAUAGUUCUAAGUUUCCAAACAUAUUAGGCGAUCCACGAAUUGGCUGUGAAAUGCCUGGCUUGGAGGAGGAGAGCGUGUCCGUGUGUGUGUCCUGUGUGUGUACAUAUGUGUGCGUGUCUGUUUGUCUAUCUGCCCAGGAUGCGACGCCCUUUCGGCCAUCCUCCCAAGGACGUGAGCCAUGCAGAGCUGCAAGGCUACCCUCAGAGGACACCCACAGUGCCUGGAAUCCACGCGCUGGUUUGAUUGCCAUUUGUGGAGAAUUUGUGAAAUCUAUCUCAAUAUUUCAUCAUUCGAUGGCCUUAUGUUUGAAGGCACUAGGAUCAGCCAGUGCUCAGUGGUUUCCUUGUACCCGUUAUUAAAUACCAAGUGCCCGGGAUGCUUCCCAAAGGUUGGGGCAGGGGCUGCUGAGAAACAGAGGGAUUACCCUCAAUCUCCACUAUUUCGGGUAUUUCAGGGACCACAUUAAACCCCACUGAGUCGGGCAGCUGAACAGUUGUCCCCUUCUCCACUCUCUGCCAGCCCCUCCAGGACCUCGGAGAGCAAGUUUCAGGUUGGUGCUAAUGGGUCUCUGUGGCGGCUUCAAGGAAGAGAUUGAGGAGAGAG